GAAGAUUGCGAGAGCAAUGUUAUGUGGUGAUUCUAUGUUGUGUGUUACAGAUUUUGUUCCGGUGGACAUGUCUAAUUUGACCCUGUACAAUUAGGCUAAGGUAUAAAUGGGAUUAGGAGAAUUGUGAGAAUAAUGUAUGUAGCUAUUUUGUGUCGUGUUCUACAAAUUUUGUCCCACUAAACACCUCGUGUGGUUCUCCUUUGAACCAAACUCUAUAUAUUUAAAGUUUGACUACAGGUGUAUACGUCUACAAGAUUAAAGAUUGUU
rnacentral:lncRNA from 1 species